rnacentral:snoRNA from 1 species
CCUGCCCCUACAGGUGGAGGUGUGGCUGCUGUGUCACAUGUGUAUCCGUUGGUGCCAGGGAUGAGAGAGGCCAUGUCUACACCCAGUGUUCUGACAACAUCUGAAUAAUUUGUAACCUAACAUU